rnacentral:rRNA from 1 species
CCUACGGGUGGCAGCAGUGAGGAAUAUUGCACAAUGGGCGAAAGCCUGAUGCAGCAACGCCGCGUGAGCGAUGAAGGCUUUCGGGUCGUAAAGCUCUGUCCUCAAGGAAGAUAAUGCCGGUACUUGAGGAGGAAGCCCCGGCUAACUACGUGCCAGCAGCCGCGGUAAUAGGUAGGGGGCAAGCUUUAUCCGGAUUUACUGGGCGUAAAGGGUGCGUAGGUGGGUUCUUAAGUCAGAGGUAAAAGGCUACGGCUCAACCGGAGUAAGCCUUUGAAACUGGGUAACUUGAGUGCAGGAGAGGAGAGUGGAAUUCCUAGUGGAGCGGUGAAAGGCGUAGAUAUUAGGAGGAACACCAGUGGCGAAGGCGGCUCGCUGGACAGUAACUGACAUUGAGGCACGAAAGCGUGGGGAGCAAACAGGAUUAGAUACCCGUGUAGUC